AAACCUCAGACAGAUCGCCGGGGAGGCAGCGCGGGAUCCCAGCCUCAGGCGUGCGCGGACGGUGUGCGGUAGAAGUGGGUUUCACCAUGUUGGCCAGGCUGGUCUCGAAUUCCUGACUUCAAGUGAUUGGACUCCCAAAGUGCUGGAAUUAGAGGCAUAAGCCACCAUGCCUGGCCUCCCCUAAUUCGCUUCUUUGAACCUCUCUACAUCAUCACAAGAUGGGUGUUACUAUGAUCACUAUUUUAUAGGUUCUCAAUGGCCCACUUCCUGACCACCACCCUCUGGAGUCCAAAGGAGAUUUGCUUAUUCCCAGUAUUAUUCCUGCAGGUCAGCCAAAGAGGAGCAAAGAGUCAUCUACCUCAAUCAUGUUCAGGAAAUGAUCAGGUCAAGAUGUGGAGUGAGCAAGCUUUUCUCUUUUGUGCCACAUUUUCUGACCCAGUAUUUCAAGCUACCCAAGGUGCGAAAAAGAAAGAAGGCCGAAGGGAAGAAGGUGGUGCUCACCCUUGCUGUCUUGAAAAAGCAGGAGACCAUGAAAGUGGUUGCAGCAGCAGAGAGCCAUCCUCUAUAAACAGCUAGAAGUGCCUUCUGUGAUUAAUCAGUUCACCAGGGCCUUGGACCACCAAACAGCUGCUCAAUGGGGGCCCAGUGCAAAAUGACGUGGAUGUUGUACCUCGUUCAAAGUGUUAAGCGUUUCAAGAUGGCAACAGCAGAGCAUUAGGCCAAGUAUGAGGUCAUUAUGUACAUGGGUCCUUGUGUGACCACACAGGUCACAGGAACAUGAAGCUAGACCUGAGUGUAUAUUCAGAUAGGUAAAUCUUACAGAUUUUUAAAACUCAAUAAAAGAAAAACUACAUUUCAUGUGUGAACACAAAAAUUGGAAUUAAAUUGGCAAUAGCAUUGGGAUUUGUGCUCAGAGUCACAGUUUACAUCUGACCACAAUUUCUAUAUGAAUUUUUUAAGAUAAAACAGUAAGAAUUUUAGAGAAGGUUUCUGAAAUUUAAAAAUUAUAAUAACAUAAUUAACUUUGAUAUUUUAAUUCCAUGUAAUUUAAAAC
rnacentral:lncRNA from 1 species